AGAGUUUGAUCAUGGCUCAGAUUGAACGCUGGCGGCAGGCCUAACACAUGCAAGUCGAGCGGUAGCACAGAGAGCUUGCUCUCGGGUGACGAGCGGCGGACGGGUGAGUAAUGUCUGGGAAACUGCCUGAUGGAGGGGGAUAACUACUGGAAACGGUAGCUAAUACCGCAUAACGUCGCAAGACCAAAGUGGGGGACCUUCGGGCCUCAUGCCAUCAGAUGUGCCCAGAUGGGAUUAGCUAGUAGGUGGGGUAACGGCUCACCUAGGCGACGAUCCCUAGCUGGUCUGAGAGGAUGACCAGCCACACUGGAACUGAGACACGGUCCAGACUCCUACGGGAGGCAGCAGUGGGGAAUAUUGCACAAUGGGCGCAAGCCUGAUGCAGCCAUGCCGCGUGUGUGAAGAAGGCCUUCGGGUUGUAAAGCACUUUCAGCGGGGAGGAAGGCGAUAAGGUUAAUAACCUUGUCGAUUGACGUUACCCGCAGAAGAAGCACCGGCUAACUCCGUGCCAGCAGCCGCGGUAAUACGGAGGGUGCAAGCGUUAAUCGGAAUUACUGGGCGUAAAGCGCACGCAGGCGGUCUGUCAAGUCGGAUGUGAAAUCCCCGGGCUCAACCUGGGAACUGCAUUCGAAACUGGCAGGCUAGAGUCUUGUAGAGGGGGGUAGAAUUCCAGGUGUAGCGGUGAAAUGCGUAGAGAUCUGGAGGAAUACCGGUGGCGAAGGCGGCCCCCUGGACAAAGACUGACGCUCAGGUGCGAAAGCGUGGGGAGCAAACAGGAUUAGAUACCCUGGUAGUCCACGCCGUAAACGAUGUCGAUUUGGAGGUUGUGCCCUUGAGGCGUGGCUUCCGGAGCUAACGCGUUAAAUCGACCGCCUGGGGAGUACGGCCGCAAGGUUAAAACUCAAAUGAAUUGACGGGGGCCCGCACAAGCGGUGGAGCAUGUGGUUUAAUUCGAUGCAACGCGAAGAACCUUACCUGGUCUUGACAUCCACAGAACUUACCAGAGAUGGAUUGGUGCCUUCGGGAACUGUGAGACAGGUGCUGCAUGGCUGUCGUCAGCUCGUGUUGUGAAAUGUUGGGUUAAGUCCCGCAACGAGCGCAACCCUUAUCCUUUGUUGCCAGCGGUCCGGCCGGGAACUCAAAGGAGACUGCCAGUGAUAAACUGGAGGAAGGUGGGGAUGACGUCAAGUCAUCAUGGCCCUUACGACCAGGGCUACACACGUGCUACAAUGGCAUAUACAAAGAGAAGCGACCUCGCGAGAGCAAGCGGACCUCAUAAAGUAUGUCGUAGUCCGGAUUGGAGUCUGCAACUCGACUCCAUGAAGUCGGAAUCGCUAGUAAUCGUAGAUCAGAAUGCUACGGUGAAUACGUUCCCGGGCCUUGUACACACCGCCCGUCACACCAUGGGAGUGGGUUGCAAAAGAAGUAGGUAGCUUAACCUUCGGGAGGGCGCUUACCACUUUGUGAUUCAUGACUGGGGUGAAGUCGUAACAAGGUAACCGUAGGGGAACCUGCGGUUGGAUCACCU
rnacentral:rRNA from 1 species